UGGGUGGGUGGGCCUGCCGACUAAUUCCGGUCAUUUCUAUACCCAUCAAGCUUUUCCAUUUGUCCGUUCGCGUUUUUUUUUUUUACUAGGAUUUAUCAGCUAUAAUUUAUUUGAUGAUACCUUUUUACUACUUGGAUAACCGUGGUAAUUCUAGAGCUAAUACAUGCUGUAAACAACUCCAACUUUUGGGAAGGAGGGCAUUUAUUAGAUACAAAACCAAUGGGGGCAACCUCUUAAUUGGCGAUUCAUAAUAACUAAGCAUAUCGCAUUUAUACACUCUUUCGGGGGUGUGGCGAAGGAUCAUUCAAAUUUCUGCCCUAUCAACUGUCGAUGGUAGUAUAGAGGACUACCAUGGUGGCAACGGGUAACGGGGAAUUAGGGUUCGAUUCCGGAGAGGGAGCCUGAGAAACGGCUACCACUUCUAAGGAAGGCAGCAGGCGCGCAAAUUACCCAAUCCUGAUACAGGGAGGUAGUGACAAUAAAUAACAAUCCAGGGCUAAUUUUUAGUCUUGGAAUUGUAAUGAGUACAAUCUAAACCUCUUAACGAGGAACAAUUGGAGGGCAAGUCUGGUGCCAGCAGCCGCGGUAAUUCCAGCUCCAAUAGCGUAUAUUAAAGUUGUUGCAGUUAAAAAGCUCGUAGUUGAACUUUAGACCUUUUCGGGAGGCUGGCAAAAAAUUAAGGG
rnacentral:ncRNA from 1 species